GACGAACGCUGGCGGCGUGCUUAACACAUGCAAGUCGAACGGAAAGGCCCCUUUGGGGGUACUCGAGUGGCGAACGGGUGAGUAACACGUGAGUAACCUGCCCUUGACUUCGGGAUAACUUCAGGAAACUGGGGCUAAUACCGGAUAGGAAUCCUUGCUGCAUGGUGGGGGUUGGAAAGCUUCGGCGGUUUUGGAUGGACUCGCGGCUUAUCAGCUUUUUUGUGGGGUAGUGGCUUACCAAGGCUUUGACGGGUAGCCGGCCUGAGAGGGCGACCGGCCACAUUGGGACUGAGAUACGGCCCAGACUCCUACGGGAGGCAGCAGUGGGGAAUAUUGCACAAUGGGCGGAAGCCUGAUGCAGCAACGCCGCGUGCGGGAUGACGGCCUUCGGGUUGUAAACCGCUUUCAGCAGGGGCGAAGCUUGUGGUGACGGUACCUGCAGAAGAAGCACCGGCUAACUACGUG
rnacentral:rRNA from 1 species